AUCUCUUACAUUGGAAUUUAUAGUCAAGAUAGGGGCUUCUUUAGUGGACCAUUCAGACGACAUGUGUCAUCUACAACUUUAUGUAUUGCAUAAAGAUUGAGACACAAAUGAUGCAUUCU